rnacentral:rRNA from 1 species
ACUCCUACGGGAGGCAGCAGUGGGGAAUUUUGGACAAUGGGCGCAAGCCUGAUCCAGCAAUGCCGCGUGAGUGAAGAAGGCCUUCGGGUUGUAAAGCUCUUUUGUCAGGGAAGAAACGGUAGGGGCUAAUAUCCUUUGCUAAUGACGGUACCUGAAGAAUAAGCACCGGCUAACUACGUGCCAGCAGCCGCGGUAAUACGUAGGGUGCAAGCGUUAAUCGGAAUUACUGGGCGUAAAGCGUGCGCAGGCGGUUUUGUAAGUCUGUCGUGAAAGCCCCGGGCUCAACCUGGGAAUUGCGAUGGAGACUGCAAGGCUUGAAUCUGGCAGAGGGGGGUAGAAUUCCACGUGUAGCAGUGAAAUGCGUAGAGAUGUGGAGGAACACCGAUGGCGAAGGCAGCCCCCUGGGUCAAGAUUGACGCUCAUGCACGAAAGCGUGGGGAGCAAACAGGAUUAGAUACCCUGGUAGUCCACGCCCUAAACGAUGUCUACUAGUUGUCGGGUUUUAAUUAACUUGGUAACGCAGCUAACGCGUGAAGUAGACCGCCUGGGGAGUACGGUCGCAAAAUUAAAACUCAAAGGAAUUGACGGGGACCCCCACAAGCGGUGGAGCAUGUGG